rnacentral:misc_RNA from 1 species
GUUCAACGAUAAAUAUUAGAAAAUAAAAUUUUAUAAUUCAAAUAUUUUGAUAAUACUAAAAAAAAUUAUAAUAUUCACUACAAACGCCAGAAAACAAUAUUCAUUUAUUUUCGGCAUUACAACAAAAUAAUAUAAAAUAAAUUAUUUCCAAACGGAAUUCAAGGAGGAUGCAUACGCCAAUUUCAAAACAAAUAUCAAUUUCCACUAAAAAUAAAUUAACAACGAAGGAUAAUUAAAUUUAAAUUUGUUAAUUUUAAAAAAUUAAAUAUUAAUUCUACUAAAAAUAAUAAUAUAAUUUACACGAAACAAUUUAAAUCACUCGUUACUUUCACAUUCCCUGUUAUUUACAGGAGCCAAAUUUGAAUUAAAUUACCAUAAUUUGUCAGAUUUUAUAAUUAAUUAAAAAGUAAAUUUAAUUAUCCUUCAUUGUUAAUUUUAGAAAAAAUUGACAUAGAAAAACAAAACUAUAUUAACAAGAACACCAAACAAAAAGGACACAAGAAAACCAAUGUCACACAAACACCAUCAUAUCAGCUUACAAGAUGUAGAUCCUCUAGUCCAAUCCAUACAAAGGUAGAUCCUUCCUCAACCAGGCUCCAUCACACAAUAACUUGUGUUUAAUAAGAACAGUAAAACAUCAUAUCAGCUUACAAGAUGGAAACACAAGACAUGUUCAAAGAACAAUAAAAGUAAAAAACAUAUUGGUUUACCGAAAACAAUUAGAAACACACUCAAUUAAACAAACUUUGAACCCCAAUGACAAACACUAACUACUAGCCUAAUCCUUAUCAAAUUAUUUUUCCCUAUAUUAAUCGGUGCCUAAUGUGAUGGACACAGAUAAAUGCCAAAGGCAUUUUACAACUUAUCAUCAAGGAACUCAGAUUUUAAAGUAGGGCAUAAAAUAAGCACAUCAUAGGACAGGCAUCAGUCUCUGCCAACUAGACCACAAAGAAGUUGCAACAUCAAACAACUACCAAGUACCACAUAAGCAAAGCACAAUCAUUUGAUGAUCACAAGCAUUAUAAACAACAGCAACUCUUAAAGCUAAUUUUCAAGUUUAACUUAUGGCAGUAAAAUAGAAGCCAUAUUUGUCCGCAUAUGACAUUAAGCAAGCUUACAAGUCAAAGCAGAUCUUUUGGAAUUGAACCAAGCCAGCAACAAAUCUAGGCAGCCAUCAUCAAUAUCAAAACUGCUAAGUAUCAUUACCGACCCGAUCCCAUCAAGAAGGGCAGCAACAGCCCGCUACAGGUGGUUAUUCAUUAGUACUUGCACAAGUCACUCACGAACCCAUGAAUAUCAUACAACAGAACAUGUAUCAGCUACCACUUCACUGCUACAGUCACGGACUUGUAUGCUACUCGCUACAUUAAGCAACAUAAGUCAAACUUUACAUGCUAGGAUUCAACAUGGUAAAAGUCUAAUGUACACCCCAAACAAAUAAUCAAACAGAAACAUGUUACCAUGUCCAAUUCAGAGCAGCAUAUUAUGUUUGAUUUUAGUAUCAGCAAGAGAACUACAAACAGGUCCACCUCAUGUGCAGCAUCAGCUAUAGGUAAAACACGUUCAUCUUGUGUCCAACUUUUAAACCACCACAGCAACUACAACCCCAAAUCAGGACCAUAUUUCCAAAGUAAAACAAAUUCCAGAGAAAAUCAGGUCAACAUCAGACAUCUGAAUGACACUAGUGUUUCAGAAACCAUGACUGACUUCAUUCUUACCAAGCAUCAGAUAAUUUCGAGAAAUUGCAAUCACGAUCAUCCAUCUACAUUUUACAAACAGCAUCAACAGCCACAACAGCCACAACAUCAACAUUCUCGACAUCAGCCCUCAUAGCAAUCUUUCCAGAAACAGAUAUAAAACCCAAUAAAUAAUUUAUGGUAAAUCAAGACUACUAUGAAAUGAAUCACAUGCAAACAAUGACCAUACAGUUUGAAAACAGGAUCCCAAAAAUUAAAAAAGAAAGAGAACGUGAGAGAGAGAGAGAAAUAAAACAUACUUAUGUAGCUUACAAAUCAAAACAUUUUAUGAAUAAUAGAACAGAAACCUACAAACUACAAGAUCCAUACGUACCAAAUUGACCAAGUAAAGAAGCAUAAAGUUCAACAUAGAAAUAUUUAAGCACCAAAACAAAUACAACCCUACCAAAACUAGCUCAUAAAAAUUCUGACCAGAACACUCAUGAUGCUCGUCAGUCCUUAACAUUAGUAACAUGGCCAUAAGAAAUGCACUAGUCAUGUCUCCAUAAAAUUUCCCAUGCGACCCGCAGGUUCAUUCAUCAACAUCUGAGUUUCGAGGGGAUGCGCUACGACUACGAGAAGCAGCAGGUCUACCUCUAGGUGAGGCACUUCGUGGAGUUGGAGACCGACCAUCACGGCUGCGCCUAUCAGGGCUUUCACCCUUAGAUGGAGAAUUCUUACGGGGGGAAGAACUCCGAGGACUUGGGCUACGUCUAACAGGGGAUGCACUGUGAUAUAGACAGAAACAUUCAAACAAUGAUAAUGAUUAUGAUGAUGAUAAUCACAAAAAUAAAAGAAAUAAUAAUGUACCAAAAAUAAAAGAAACAACAAUGUAAAGGUAAAACAAGUCAACUCCUUAAAUCCAUAAUGAUUCAUUGAAUAACAAAGUUGUAAACCUAUCCACUGAUCGACUGCUGCUCCUCCGCUCAUCAUCAUAACGUCCUCUACCCCGGCCUCUAGAGUAAUCAGGACUGGCACUGCGACUCCUGCUCCGUCGACGAUAGUCUCUGUCCCUAGCACGAUACUUUUCACGCUCAUAUCUGUCCCGACUCCUGCUGCGACUUCUCCUCCUAUAGCCUUUAUCUCUAUAGUCAUCUCGGUACCUGAAAUUUUGAAAUAUCCAGCAACAAGAAACAAUAUGGUAAUUUAGUGACACAUUAGCCUAUAGAUAUAAGCUUAAAAGAUCCCAAACAAAGGUGUCACCGAGGCAAACCCUCUCAAGCCUCAAAUUUUAGCACCAUCACAUCAACUUAUAUCUACUUGGACACAAAUCGAGAGAAGGAUCACAUACGUUAGCUCACAAUAAAGGAACAUAAAGAAUGACCCAAACUCAUGAUGAGCAAUAGAACAAUUAAGAUAGUGCUUCAGAACAAUUUAAAUUAGUGAUCUUGCCAUCAAGUGAUAUUCUUGUUAGCUUCAAGCAGCAAGACAUGUUUCGAACUUGAAUGAAUAAUAAAAGAUAACAAAGCAUGCAGUCCAUGCGACCAAGGUUAGAAACACCAUUAAUCCACAAACAGGGGAAAGAGGGGAAGAACCGCAAUUUCUGAGAUUCAUGUAAUAUUGUUCAUCAAGCCAUCUUGGAACAGAAGAAUGUAUACCUUCUUCGAGGACUGCGACUCUGAGACCUGUAUCUUGACCUUGGAACAGAUUCAACAAUCCUUCCUUUAUGAACCCUCUCAGCAUUGGGCCCAUAUUUCGCGAACUGAACUGUAAUCUCCCGCCCAUCAACAACUCUUCCAUCUAGCCUAUCCACUGCCUUCUGUGCCUCAUCUGCAUACUUAUAGCGCACAAAUGCAAAUCCACGAGAGUCACCAGUCCUAACCAAUAAAAACCAUAGACAAAACGUUAUGAUAAGAAGGUUAACAUUCUUCAUACUCUCUGUUUUCUAGAGAGUAACCUUCAUCGCACAAAUCCCAGUAUCCAACAGUGGGAUAAGUUUGCCUGUGAAAUCAUGAAAAACAGUACCACACGUGCCCACAUGCCAAAAGGCGCAAAACCCAAACCACAAAAACAAACAGCCCAUGCUCAAAUCUCUAUUAAACCAUUCAAAACUGAAAACAGAGCAUCAUAAUAACCCACAACUCACACACAACUGAUUGAAACACUACUUGCACCACUUGAUAGCAUUGAAGGAAAUACUAAGUGCCAGCUGCCAAAUUACAAAACUUCAUAGUUCACAUUGUCUUUAAAUUUGCUUCAAGAAUAUGGGCAUAGCAUGCAAUUUGCCCCUUCCAAGCUUUGCAACAACAACAGGAGGCACACCACUAGUUAUGCAUGGAAAUCGAAGCAACAAAUACAUAGACAAGAUGCAGAUUUGAUGCAUUCCCAUGAAAAUUUUCACAAAGUGAGUUAACCCAACUACUCUUAUGCGUUUACUAUCUCCAAAAGUUAAAACAAGACCGAACCUCGUACGAAGAAGAGAUUCCACAUUCCCUCGUUCAAUAAAACAAUAAUUUCAAUUAUUUUCUUCAAGGAAUAAAUAUAAUCAGAAUUGAGAUUACAUAAUUUCAGCAAGAGAUCAAUAAGAAAAUGACAAGCAAAAUUGUAAUGAUAAAAAUCAAUAAAGAAAAGGAAACGUUGAGAAGCACCUUCGAUCUCUGGGGAUAAAGAUGUCGACGACCUUCCCGUACUUGUCAAAAAGAGGAAACAGAUCAUCAGCAGUAGUACGGAAGGUGAUGUUGAGGACAAGCAGGGAGUACGUGUCAACAAUAUCAGGAGGGCCAGACCUGCCGAAGUGAGACAUCUUUGGCUUCUGGUUAGAGAGAGAGCGAGAGAUAAGAGAAACGAGAUUAGGGUUUGUGGCUGGCUU